rnacentral:rRNA from 1 species
UACAGAGGGGGCAAGCGUUAUUCGGAAUUAUUGGGCGUAAAGGGCGCGUAGGCGGCUUCGCAAGUGACGGGUGAAAUCCCUCGGCUUAACCGAGGAACUGCCUGUCAAACUGCGUGGCUUGAGACCAGGAGAGGUGAGUGGAAUUCCCAGUGUAGCGGUGAAAUGCGUAGAUAUUGGGAGGAACACCAGUGGCGAAGGCGGCAUCCUGGACCGAGAUUGACGCUGAGGCGCGAAAGCCAGGGGAGCAAACGGG